rnacentral:rRNA from 1 species
CAGUCGCCGCGGUAAUGCGUAGGUCCCGAGCGUUGUCCGGAUUUAUUGGGCGUAAAGCGAGCGCAGGCGGUUAGAUAAGUCUGAAGUUAAAGGCUGUGGCUUAACCAUAGUACGCUUUGGAAACUGUUUAACUUGAGUGCAAGAGGGGAGAGUGGAAUUCCAUGUGUAGCGGUGAAAUGCGUAGAUAUAUGGAGGAACACCGGUGGCGAAAGCGGCUCUCUGGCUUGUAACUGACGCUGAGGCUCGAAAGCGUGGGGAGCAAACAGGAUUAGAUACCCGGGUAGUCCCUGUCUCUUAUACA